rnacentral:rRNA from 1 species
CGCGCAGCCGCGGCAUACAUCAAGUCUGAAUCUGCUCGCCGCGCGAGGGAUGACCGCCUUCGGGGUGUCAACCUCUUUCUGAGUGGACGAUGAGUCCUUGACCGUACCUGCAUAGGAAGCACCGGCCAAGUGCCUGCCAGCAGCCGCGGUAAUAC